rnacentral:rRNA from 1 species
UACGGGGGGGGCAAGCGUUGUUCGGAAUUACUGGGCGUAAAGGGCUCGUAGGCGGCCAACUAAGUCGGACGUGAAAUCCCUCGGCUCAACCGGGGAACUGCGUCCGAUACUGGAUGGCUUGAGUUCGGGAGAGGGAUGCGGAAUUCCAGGUGUAGCGGUGUAAUGCGUAGAUAUCUGGAGGAACACCGGUGGCGAAGGCGGCAUCCUGGACCGACACUGACGCUGAGGAGCGAAAGCCAGGGGAGCAAACGGG